CACUCCCAAAGCCACCAGACGCAAAGGAGCCCUGGGGGCUCCAGGCACGAGUGAGCCACAGAGCCAUGAGAUGGUGGCCUUGGCUGCUGGCACAGGCGUCCCGGCUUCCCUCCCGGUCCCUGCGGGCUCUGGAGGGGACUCUUCUGCUCCAGGUGGUGUGGCGACCAGGGGGAGAUCUGGACCCAUUGCAGUCACCGAGCUGCCAGGUAUGGACUUGACACGCGGAGGUGGGGAGAGCCCAGGACGCCUAACAGGACGUGCCCCUGUGCCUGCCCAGGUGUGUGGCUGGCUGCUGUGCAGGGAAGUUGUGGCGAAACUCCAGCCUGCUCGACCAGCCGAGCAGGAGAGGGGCGUCCUAGUUGGGUCUGCCAGGCAGCUGGAGGAUGCGGGAGAGGAUGCCUGCUUAUGGGCCAGUCCCCUCCCCUCUGUCCAGAAAUAGGCACACAAUGAAGAAGCCGCCUGAUUCCAGAUGGCAGCUGUCCCAGAAAAGCAGGUGCCCUGCGUGGUGUGGACACACACACACACAUUAAUAGAGUGAUUUCCAUUCAUGGUGCCGAAAUCUGACUUCAGAAGAAGCCUCGGCUCACAGAGGGUGGAGAGAAUCCAGGAAUGGGGGGCAUUGUCUUUGCUCUAAAGAAAACCCCAAAGGGAGUAGUCAUUUGGACACUCAAUUUUGAUGGAUGGAGCAUAAAGCAUGGCCGAUGUACUGUCAUCUAGGAAGGUGAGCGCUGAGCGGUGAAGGGCCACCAGAGGCGAGCUAACCAAGGAGUUCUUGGGGAGGCAGGGCUUUUGGCCAUAGCUGCUUCACCCCACAAAGAGCCACCACUCAUCCACUGAACACCCACGGUGAUUAGGGGGCGGAAGACCGGGCGAGGCUCAGCCUCCCAUGCACAGUGGGGAGGCAACUGGAGGCAGACAGCCACACGCUGUGGCCCCUGCCACCACAGAGGAUGUCUUUGAGCUUUUCCUGGGGUGGGUGUUGUUUCUCAAGGAGAAACCAGCUAUUCUCCCUCCCAUCCUGCCCCUUCCCUUCACCACAAACAUGGACUGAGCACCUACUGUGCACGAGGGUGGCUGCGGGAGCAGGGAAUGUGCUGACGCAGAAAACAGCCUCCCCCCUGGUACUUAUGCUCUGAUGGGACCGAGGCAAGCAACAGUCAAAGUAACAAUCAGACAGUGGUAAGCACUGUGAAGGAAAAUGAAGCAGGCCCAGGGACGAAAAGGCAGGAGGGGACCUGUUGUGGGACGGCCUCCUGCAGAGGGACACUGGAACACUGGACUGCCCACACGGUGUCCAUCUCUGGGAGUUGGCCUGGGACAGCAAAUGCCUCCCACCUCCUGGGACACUCAAGGUGAUUCCAGGGCUCCCUGGCUCCCCGGACAUGCCUGAGUGGUCCUCUGGGGCAGCCCACAGUGAGUGCCACAGCGUGGACCGACACCCAGGGCUCCCCUGUGCAGGGGGAGAGGGGAAGGGUGGUCCAGCAGGGGUGGGGGUGCCCUGGCACGAUGUUCCAGGAAAACCUCCCUCUCGCCAGGCCUCGCAGCCUGUGGGAUACUGAUCCGGCCCCUCCCCUCAGAGUUCCCACAGCCCCAGCAGCGUCUCCCGGGGGCCAGGCACCUAGCUAGGUCCACCCCGCCCCGGAGCUGCUCAUCAGCCUCCUUCCUGGGCGAGCACCUCGGCUUCCCGGCUGUAGCCGAGAAGCCCCACACCUGGGCCUACGUGCCCUCCGGCACCAGCAUUCAGCAGGAAGCCAGGGGAGAGAGGCAGCUCACUAAACAACCAGGACGCAGCAUUUAAACAGAGCCUCUUGGCACCUCCCAGAGAUCUUACUGAGGAUGAUAUAUCUGUACCUCCUUGUCCCUGGCUGUCUUUGGAAUCUCAUUUCUGUGGACUUCCCAGAAAAGUUGGCCAGUUCGCAUUCACAUCAGCAGCUUCUGAAUCCAAGGAGCCUUUCAAGGUCACUGUUAAUGCCCUUUGCUCAUUGGUUUAACAUUAUUGCACUGUUCUUAUCCAGCCUGUAUUGAUUCUUCAUUAAUUAGGGAUAUUAACCUCUUGUCUUUCAUAUUUGUUACCAAUAUU